UAAGACGAAGGUGGCAAGCGUUGUUCGGUGUUACUGGGCUUAAAGCGUGUGUAGGCGGAAAGGUAAGCGUCUUGUGAAAGCCCUCGGCUUAACCGAGGAAUUGCUCGGCGAACUACCUUUCUUGAGGCAAGUAGGGGUGCACGGAACUCUUGGUGGAGCGGUGGAAUGCGUAGAUAUCAAGAGGAACGCCGAUGGAGAAAUCAGUGCACUGGGCUUGUCCUGACGCUGAGACACGAAAGCGUGGGGAGCGAACGGGAUUAGAUACCCCGGUAGUCCACGCUGUAAACGAUGUCUACUAGGCUGUGGUCGUUCUGACACGGGCACGGCCGAAGCAAAAGUGUUAAGUAGACCGCCUGGGGAGUACGGUCGCAAGGCUA
rnacentral:rRNA from 1 species